CCUACGGGCGGCUGCAGUGGGGAAUAUUGGACAAUGGGGGCAACCCUGAUCCAGCCAUGCCGCGUGUGUGAAGAAGGCCCUCGGGUUGUAAAGCACUUUCAGUGAGGAAGAACGCCUGGUGGUUAAUACCCAUCAGGAAAGACAUCACUCACAGAAGAAGCACCGGCUAACUCCGUGCCAGCAGCCGCGGUAAUACGGAGGGUGCGAGCGUUAAUCGGAAUUACUGGGCGUAAAGCGCGCGUAGGUGGCUUGAUAAGCCGGUUGUGAAAGCCCCGGGCUCAACCUGGGAACGGCAUCCGGAACUGUCAAGCUAGAGUGCAGGAGAGGAAGGUAGAAUUCCCGGUGUAGCGGUGAAUUGCGUAGAGAUCGGGAGGAAUACCAGUGGCGAAGGCGGCCUUCUGGACUGACACUGACACUGAGGUGCGAAAGCGUGGGUAGCAAACAGGAUUAGAUACCCUAGUAGUC
rnacentral:rRNA from 1 species